ACACAGAUAGAGAUUUGUUCAAAAACAAAGAAUCUUCUUCUUCCAAGGGAAAAUAAUACAACUCUUUAUAUUUUUUAUUUAUUCCUUUAUUUGACAAAAAAUGGUAGAAUAUAUUCUAGAAGAAAUUAGAGGGCGUGGUAGGUGUCUGUGGAAAGAGAAGGAAGAGACCGAUCUUUUAGUGAUGGUUUGGGGUGGUGAGAGAAUUUAAUGAGAAUUUGAACCUUUGAUUCUUCUUUCUCCGACGAUGAUGAGCCUUGAUUUCAGUCUUAAAUGAACGACCAUCAAGUGGGCUUUCUUUAAUUGACAAUGGCAUCAUCUAAUCCCACCAGAAAUAGAGUGUGGCGAUGAGAGAGAGAGAAUCAACCAUAGUUCGGUUUUUCUCAUUUUUCUGCCACUUCCGGCAAGUUAUGGUUGAUCAGAAUACAUGGAGAACUCUACUCUCUACAAGCUUUCCCUUGGAAAAUCAACGGCUGAAAUUGUGUCAGUGUUUUGUGACUAGUCUGUGACUUGAACUGCAAAUCAAACACCGAAAUCAUAAUCUAGACUUCAACACAAGUCCGUAGACGUUCUCGGAUUGUCAAUCGGACACCGACGACUAAUGAUGGGUUUACUGAUGUUUUGCGCGUCUAGGAUCUGCAUACAAAUAUCAAUUUGGCAAUAUUCUUCUACAAAAAUAUCCAGAAUCGAUAUCGAUCACCAAAUACCAAAUCUUACCGUUUAGCUUCUCCUAUAAGCACAUGAUGCUUCACAGUCAGUUUUGCAAAUAAAUUUAGGUUUAUGAGGUAUGCAUGACUCAAAACAAGGCUUAAAACAAGUUUCAUGAGAUUCAGUAGUAGGAGCAGUAUAUGACUCAAGUUUCCACCCUUCUGCGACCUCAAUGGAUACAACCAGCAUGACAAUAAGGAUUGCACCAAUGGAGACUUUGCUUGCGGUCAUUUUUUUUUUCCUUAUGUUCCUUUGUUCUUUUCAUGUCCUUUUCUUAACUAUAUUUAUAUUGUAAAUGGACAAUGCUUUGUCAUGCAAUAAUUACUAUAUUUAGUAUUU